rnacentral:lncRNA from 1 species
CCCAUCAAACAGCUUGAUCGACUUGUCGGACGAGGAAGCUUCAUCGUACAGUCUCUGAGUAGCUUUAGGAUCCGUAACCGUAUCAGCAGUGCCGUGAAGCACAAGAAACGGGACCUUGAUUCUAUUCAGGUUCUCCAGCAAAUGGGAACCGAGUCUAAGGAUCUCGUAACCGGUUCUUGCUCUGAUAAACCCCGUGUAGACUAACGGGUCAGAGUAUUUAGCCAAGAGAGCUUCCGGGUCGCGAGAAACAGGCAUUAUUUUCUUUUUAGCAGCACUCAACUGGUACCUUGGGAUGAGGAACGCGAGGAAAGGUGCAAUUACCUGUUGAAACAACAAUGUUGUAAUGUUUUCAAGACGAAAAGUUAAAAAACAUGUUCAGGUUUUGACGUACACCAAAGAUGGGAUGAGAUGGUUGGACUCCUACUGCGGGUGAAGUUAACACAAUGCCUGAAACUUGAGCUUCGAUCUUGGGAUCUAGCAUAGCCUGCAAGAGUAGUUUAUAUAGUCAACAUAUAGUUUCAAGAGCAGUGAUAUGAACAUGUUUUAAGAUCUUUUGACCUUUAAGAUGAUGGCUCCUCCUGUUGAGUGACCAACGCAGAAACAGGGCAGUCCCGGGUUUUCUGCGAUUACCUUCUCAAGAAACGAGCUCUGCAGAUAAUUGCUUUUAGGAGAUGUGAUUUUUGAAGCAACGGUAUGGUUUAUGAAAAUGGUGAGCCUUGUGAAACUUAAAAAGAGACUUAUACCAAAUCUUCCAAUUUUUUAAGAGAUCUAAUUGUUGAAGCAAUGAUAUGGUUUAUGAAGAUGUUGAGACUUUGACUAUACCAAAUCAGUGACAGCAUAAUCAAGAGAAGGAACAUAAGCAUGAAGUCCAUCGCUUCCACCAUGACCUGUUCGGCCAAGAUAAAACUCCAUUAUGUAGCGAAAAUAUAAAAUUUGUAAACUAGCAUAACUUGGAAUAGUUAAAGUGGUUGUAUUACCGAUCCAGUCUAUUCCAUAGACCUUGAAUCCAUUAACAUUUAGCUGCUUAGCAAAGUCAUUAUACCUUCCACUGUUGAUCGUUUGAAUAACCUGAGUUAGGCUUCCUCUAUGGAACGAAAACUUAAGAUCAAAAUCCAAAGCUACAAAACAAACCUGUGUUCGUUCAGACCGUGGAGCAGAACAACAAUCCCCCUGCAAGCAAGCUCACAGACAUAUAUAUAUCAGCAACAAAAAGAUUAAAAGAAGACAAUAAACAAGAGACUAAAGAUAGAAAACUUGGAAUAAAGGUGAACGUAAAGUUACAUAGCCAAGAGAUCUAGAAGAUCAUUGUAUUAUAUACACUAAAAAGUUUUCUCUUGACCAAGUCUUCAGUGUGUACAUGAGUUGGCAUGUAUAAAAAAUUUCGUAACUGUCGUUCCAGGAACUCAAAUGUAUGCGUAAGUGUGUUUGAAGAAUUGGCAAAAGCCCUUGAUGAAAUGAGAAUUUCUGAGUAGGAGUAUUAAACCGAAAGUGGUGGUUGCCACAAACUUCAACCCUAAAUUGGGAGUAAGAAAUUAACCACCAUUUCUUAAGCAUGAUAUAGCUGGUCUUAAAAUAUUAAUUGACUCAAGUUCUUUUUUAGGUCGGUUCUUCCUGAAUGCAACCUCUGCAAUCCAUUUCUAUUUUAAUAAUGAGAGUGGUGCAGGUAAAAGUUAUCUUGAGAGGUAAUGACUUUCACCACUAUUUUCUACACAAGGAGAAUACUUUAAUAGUCCAAACCCACUGACUGAAAGCGGUUCUUAUUUAGGACAUGUGGCAUUGGCAAAGGCUCGACCUCCGGCCCUACAAAAUAUGGGGGUGUUAAGAAGAUUGAGUGAAUGACGGUAGCAAAGCUUAAUGACCGUCAUGAAAUCUCCACUGCAGGUUUGCCGUUAAAUCAAACAUAAUUUAUCUUACUGCAACAUAUAUGACCCGUGUGUGCCUCUAAUAAAUCAAAAUAAAUUCAGUCAGAAGAAUUCAUUUGCAUUGGCAUUGUAAGUUGAAUCAACACAUCAAAUGGAUGGUGCUACAUUUCUUGCUCCAAGUGCUACCGAAAAUUGCAGCGUGAGUUUACAUCAGUCACAUGGGCUUCCUGUAAUGAGGUGAAUGCUGUUGGAGUCAUAAGGUAAGCCAUCCUUAACGAGACCACCAAUUAAAGUUCCAUUUUUCAAUUCUCAUCCCGUAUAUGUUUCAAAGUAAGACACCAUUCUGGGAAACUAUGCUAGGUACCAUAUGCAAAUGACUGUUUGGUGCAACCGACACUAACACAUUUGUAGCUUUUAACACUGAAAUAACUAAACUGACCAAUAUCCGGCCUGCAGACGUCUCCCACCAGCAGGUUCUUAUUUCUGCUGACUAGCACUUUCAAGUUCUUAUUUUUUUUAGGAAACGACUACUAAUAUUUUCACAUUCUUUCGCUUAUGAAAGCCACAGGUCCACAAGACCCACAGGAUUGGGACCUUCCAAAAUGCUUAAAGGAGAUUGUUGGGUGAACUUUAACCUUCUAUUUAAACAUAUCUCACUUCAACUUCACUACAAAAUAACAGAAUUUCACUCUUGCAUUCUUAACAACAAGUCAACAACCAAUGUCCUCCCUAGCAUAUUUUUGAGGUCCAGUUGGUCAAUAUAACCAGCACCAAAUUAUUAACAAUUUAAAAUAAUUGGUUUAAUUUUCUUAGUCAUUUGUACAUUUAAUGUUAAACUUAGAUCAGUACAUAAAUUAAUUAAAAUUUUCCAUAAAAAAUUUCUUCACACCGAAGAUAUAAUAAUCUGCAUAUAGAAAACAAGAAAAAAAUAAAUGAGAUGGAUUCAUAUAGAUCGUUUUGAAUACUGAUGCAAGGUCACGAAUAUAUGUUCUCCCUCAGCCUUCGUAUAUUCAUCAUUCGAAAUUAAAUCAAAUCAGUUAAUUCAUAAUCUCAAAAGGUUCCACAAUCAGGUGAACCCAAAACGAAUAGUUGAAUAUAUAACACAUUUUUUCCAGUAAGAACGAUCGACCUAUUAUUAUUCUUCACCACACCUCGGGCACCGAGGUUUCAAAGAAACAACUUGAGCACAUUAGAGAUUCUCAACACCUUCUCUUUCACAACUAACAUAUUGCAGUUCCUCUCCGUUAAAUAUUAUCAGCCACUUUUGCGGUGUAGGAACACCAGCUAUUCCUUGGCAAAUGGCAACUGGCUAAGAAGAAACCAUCACAAACUGAUGAACGUAACACAGAGUCUCUGGUGGGCUCAAAUCGAGAGUUAGGAAACGCUCUUCGAGUAACAAUAACCCAGGUUUACAAUCCACUAAUAACAUAACAAAGUGACCAAUAUAGAGCUAUCUUGCUACACAUGCAAUCUCUAUCACAGCUUAAUUGUUUUUCCUUAACACAAGUUCCAUAAAUAAAAAAUUCCCAAAACUUCUUCAAAGUUUAAAACAUCGGCCACCAUAGUAAAGAACACAGACUUAUUCAAACAUGUAUGAAUUACAAACAAACAAAAACAACUUUUACAAAAAGAAAACCAACGACCCAUUAAAAUAAUUUCAUAUAUAAUAUUUUUUCAAAAAAAAGAAAGAUUUCAUAUCUAAGAACAACAACAUACCAUAUACACAAACCAGAUACCAAACACUAACAAUUCUCAAAACACGAAAUUUUAACUUCAUAACAAAUUAGCAUAUGCACCAACAUAAGUAGCAAACAUGACCUCCACUUCAAAUAACACAACAAAUCAACAACAUAAUUUACAAGUUUGAAUAUCACAAAGGUCAACAACCCGCGCGAAGCGCGGAAACACCACUGGUAUGUAGAUAUAGUUAAUAUUUUUAUAUAUUCAGGUACCCGUUCGGUUCUCGGUUUGGUUCCGGUUCGGUUACAUUAGAUAUAAAAAUAUAGAAGUCGUUCGGAUAUUUGAGGGUAUUGAUCUGGUUCCGGUUUCGGGUAUUUCGGUUCGGUUCCGGUUAUUUUGCCCGGGCUUAGCUAUAACCAUACUAAGAAGCAUCCGAGAUCACCGACCCGUUUCUCUGAUAAGAAUCCGGAUCCGAUAAACGGGUUUCGACCCAAACCAGGUUCAAGCCCAAUAUUUUACGGCGCAAGCCCAACAAAUCUUUAAUUAUUCGUAUUUUCUUGAGAAUUAAGCUAUAAACACGAUGUUACACAAUCGUAUAUAAAUACGUAAAUGAUACAACUACUACAUUUGGUUUGAGAAAUUUAAACCCGCCGGUUUAGCCAAUCCAAUAUGACUCCAGCGAUGAUUCCUCGUUCCGGUUCAAAGAGCAGAUCAUGCAACAACCCAUCAAACAGCUUGAUCGACUUGUCGGACGAGGAAGCUUCAUCGUACAGUCUCUGAGUAGCUUUAGGAUCAGUAACCGUAUCAGCAGUGCCGUGAAGCACAAGAAACGGGACCUUGAUUCUAUUCAGGUUCUCCAGCAAAUGGGAACCGAGUCUAAGGAUCUCGUAACCGGUUCUUGCUCUGAUAAACCCCGUGUAGACUAACGGGUCAGAGUAUUUAGCCAAGAGAGCUUCCGGGUCGCGAGAAACAGGCAUUAUUUUCUUUUUAGCAGCACUCA